ACCUGAACAGUACAUGCGCAUAACAGCAUGUCUAGCAGCCCAGCCCACACAGAGGUUUCUGGCUGAGAUGCCUGUCUAAGCCAGGCCUGCCCACAGCACAGAUGGAAGAAGUGCACAUAUUAAUAAGAGUAAGCUUUUCACUGCAACUGCUCAGGACUCAUUUUAAAGAAGAGACAGAUCUCUAACAAGAUUUUGCAGGACUGGAGCCAUCCCCAAGGUGAGUGUCAGGAUGUUUUGAAACUGGGACACACUGUACAGGGGUGAACAAAGGAAUCUGCUUUUCAAUACCACACUGCCUGCUGCAACCAAAUGUCACUGCAGGGCUUAAC